rnacentral:rRNA from 1 species
AAACUAACAGAUUUACUUCGGUAAUGACGUUAGGAAAGCGAGCGGCGGAUGGGUGAGUAACACGUGGGGAACCUGCCCCAUAGUCUGGGAUACCACUUGGAAACAGGUGCUAAUACCGGAUAAGAAAGCAGAUCGCAUGAUCAGCUUUUAAAAGGCGGCGUAAGCUGUCGCUAUGGGAUGGCCCCGCGGUGCAUUAGCUAGUUGGUAAGGUAAAGGCUUACCAAGGCGAUGAUGCAUAGCCGAGUUGAGAGACUGAUCGGCCACAUUGGGACUGAGACACGGCCCAAACUCCUACGGGAGGCAGCAGUAGGGAAUCUUCCACAGUGGACGCAAGUCUGAUGGAGCAACGCCGCGUGAGUGAAGAAGGUUUUCGGAUCGUAAAGCUCUGUUGUUGGUGAA